rnacentral:rRNA from 1 species
GAUGAACGCUGGCGGCGUGCCUAAUACAUGCAAGUCGAGCGAACAGACGAGGAGCUUGCUCCUCUGACGUUAGCGGCGGACGGGUGAGUAACACGUGGAUAACCUACCUAUAAGACUGGGAUAACUUCGGGAAACCGGAGCUAAUACCGGAUAAUAUAUUGAACCGCAUGGUUCAAUAGUGAAAGACGGUUUUGCUGUCACUUAUAGAUGGAUCCGCGCCGCAUUAGCUAGUUGGUAAGGUAACGGCUUACCAAGGCAACGAUACGUAGCCGACCUGAGAGAGGGAUAGGCGACACUGGAACUGAGACACGGUCCAGACUCCGACGGGAGGCAGCAGUAGGGUAUCUUCCGCAAUGGGCGAAAGCCUGACGGAGCAACGCCGCGUGAGUGAUGAAGGUCUUCGGAUCGUAAAACUCUGUUAUUAGGGAAGAACAAAUGUGUAAGUAACUAUGCACGUCUUGACGGUACCUAAUGAGAAAGCCACGGCUAACUACGUG